rnacentral:lncRNA from 1 species
AACAAGUACAUUUGAAAUCAUUUGAAAACAUACAUUCAAACAGUGAUCAGGACGUUAAGGUUGUCCACCUCCAGCUGCAAGUCUUAUAUUACUUUAAUCACUAAUAAAAACAUUUACCGUCUGUGUCACUAAUCAAUCAUCUUUCAUUGAUCUUUUCCAAACCUCAAAGGGAAGGAAACACAAUUGUUGAGUUUGAGGCAGCAGUCCACGUCAGAUUAAACACUUCUCAACUUCAAAAACUAGUGUAUGACCUGGAGGGGAGUCUUACUGGAAAACUUAAGGUCGACACUUCAGGAAUGGUCAACAUAGAGUCCCCCAAUUCAACAGUGUGCUAUGAGUCCACUCCAACUCUGAAAUGCAAAUUUGAGGAGGAGACGGACAGCGCCGUCUGGAGCAUGAGCACCCAGCACCAGCGCUUUCAGCUCAACACUGGCAUUGUUGUAGAACUGAUCAACAACUGUGCGAAUGAGACAUACAAGUCCUGCACUGGAGUCAUACUCAAGAAAGUGACAGAAAUCUGGUCAGGCACAUACGAGUGUGGAUUCACUCGCGGCUCGCUCACACACAAAGCCAAGACCAGAAUGAGAGUGGCACUCCUCCCUGACGUGAUCACCAUGAAGAUCGACCCUCUUACUGCAGACUGCUCGAAGAAGCUUGAAUCUGCUUCUAUUGAUGUUGACGUCACUGCCACCAUCUUAAACUCCUCUGAGAGCUUUAAGGUUUCAUGGAGCUACAUGAACAAACCUCUGCAUGAUCUAUCUAACAGAACUGAUGGAGAUUUUCUGAUCUAUGAAUUCAAGGCUCCGAUCAGCUGUGUGAAAAUCGAGGAAGCACAAACUAUUACUGUCACCUUUAAAAACGCCAAGGGACAAAUCAAAAAUGGAAGCAUCAACGUCCCAGUUAUUUAUGAGGGGAAACCAUUUUGCCGUGAGGAGGUGGUAAAUGGAUCUUUUUGGCCGAAUACCCCGGCUGGUGACACGGUGAUUAACAGAACAUGUCCGGCGGGCCGGGUCGGCUUCAGCUCACGCACUUGUGAAGGCAGGAAAUGGCAGCAGGUGUACCACUCCUGCGUCAACGAAGAGCUGAACAAAGUUGUAAAUGCAGCAGAUGUGAGUGUUGAGUUACAGCUUGUGACCUGGUUUCCACGGAUCAGGAGGAAUUAAUGACUUUUUUGUCAAAAGUGGCCGUAAACAUUGACAGAAGAAA